rnacentral:miRNA from 1 species
AUCAGGCCUUAAGGCCGUUUUCCACUAGGCGGAAUUUUCCGCGCGGAGCGGAAUUUUUCUUUGUCUUUUCUAAUUAGUUCCACUCGAGAAAUCACAAGACAAAGAAAAAUUCCGCUCCGCGCGGAAAAUUCCGCCUAGUGGAAAACGGCCUUUAAGCCAGAU